rnacentral:lncRNA from 1 species
AACUUGUGUUGUUGACACUAUGAUUCGGCUUCCUUUGUUGUUGUUUGGCAGGCAUUUUUCGAUCUGGUCCCACUCUUCAAUGGUGCAGAGGUCAGUAAGCACAAUGAGAAACCUCUUCUCCUUCACAUAUCCAUCGAACUCCUGAACUAAAUCGCGCGUGGUCUUCUCUGUGUCCAAUAUAUCUUUAUAUCCUUCCACCGCAAGAAAUUGGUUCACUAAGCAUCCGUUCUCAUUUGAGAAAAUGAAGCGGUGACCGUUGGAGAGCCCGAUCUAGGAAAGAGCAGCAAAUUGGACUAGUUCCACCUUAUUUUGCUAGCUUAGUGAUAAAUAUUAAUUAUCGAUAACAAAAUUUGACACCAUCAAUUCUUUAAACCUGACCUGGUAAGAUCAAGUAACUUAUUUGGUUGAAUUUUCAAUUUAAUUUGGCUAGAUCAAAUUCAAGUUAGAUAUCCCAAAAAAGUCAAGUUAGAAAACAAUAGCAGAUUGUAAGAUAUUGGGCUUCUUUCUUAGUUCAAAAUUUGACCUAGUGAUUUCAUCUACAGAACUUAGUAAAGUGUCAGGGUAGGUGCCAGGUGGCUAGAUGAAAUCACUAGGCCCACAAAUGACAUGCUUGAGCCUCACUAGCGUCGAACCCACCAUUCCAUUCAUCUCAUAAAUUAGCUCACACUUCAUAAACUUUAGCUAACGCUCAUGUCGAAAAUUUAGUAGUCUAAUCUUUCCAUCAUUAACCCAAAAAAAUGCAAACCAUGAUAAUGUGCAAUUGUACGCUAACAACAAAAGGAAAUGAACUUUGGCCACUCAUUUAUAAACAAGUGUUUGGAUGGGCCUACAAAUAAUAUCAUGGAAUUCUCGUCAUGUACCCGUAUCUUGUCCCUGGUCUCAGAAUCUGGAGCAGCACUUAUCCUUUCGAAAUCCCAGGGAAAGUAAACAUCGUCGAGCUUCGUUGAUGCUUUGGAGAAAUUCUAGCCCAGAAAAUCCAAUCACAUUAUUUGCUCCCCCUGUGAAAUGCAGCCGCUCAAGUUUGGGCAUUAUUCCUUCUUCAAACUUUACGGCCGAUUUGAUGUACCGUAUGCAGCUGCUGCAAGGCAGGCCCGCUGAUCUUCAGCCUGGUAGGUGUGCUCGAACCUGCCGCAACCGCAAAGUAUAUAAAGAGGUUACAGAUCAGAGUCUCCCGAAAUGGCAAAAGUGCAAACCUGUACGAGACUCAGUACACCGUCACAAUUGGUUCGUUUCUAUUACCAGCAAGCAGUUCCUGGAUUUUCUUCUUCAGCCAUCCAUUGUUAUUACUGAGCUGGACCUCGUUGAUGCUUUGGAGAAAUUCUAGCCCAGAAAAUCCAAUUUCAUUAUUUGCUUCCCCUAUGACCUGCAGCAGAUCAUUAUUUGCUUCCCUUAUGACCUGCAGCAGCUCAAGUUUGGGCAUUAUUCCUUCUUCAAACUUUACCGAUUUGAUGUACUCUAUGUCUAGCAUGAGCACCCUGAGGCUUCCGAAAGCUCUUCCAGUCUGCUGAGAUCGGAAACGAAGUUCUUCACCCUGAAACGAUUGACGAGACAAGCUUAGAAUUUCCAGCUUUGACAUUUUCCCAAGGAAUUCCAUAGCAGCAUCGUGCUCCAAUAGCCUGGUGCUCACUAGUUUCAACUUCACGAGAUGCGGGAGCUCCUUGAUCCAUUUCGGCAACGUUUCCAGAUUGCCGUAGAGCCUGAGGCUCUGCAGGUUUUCUGGAGGCGGGUAUAGUGAUUCCAAGCAGCCAUGCAAACCUGGCUUCCCUGCCGAACUCACAGAUAGUGAUUCCAGCCUGCUGAGAUUGGAAAUGGCAGCGCGAAAAGCUGGGCCAUUCUUCCUGUUGAUGCCUGCAACUCCUAACUUGCGCAACCCCGUGAGCAUUUUGAUGUCCUGUAGAACAGCAUUUCCCCUUCCGACAUGCACUCCCCGAAAUGUGUGCAACUCUUUCAGUUUUCUUGUCCCCCUUGGCACCAUAGCACCCCUUUCUUCAUGAACUCCUGUCAUGACAGCAGGGAAAAGCACGCAGCAAGCGAAAGUGCAUGCAUCACGCCUUGUAAGGGCCUUAUGGAGAGAGCCAUCAAUGUCCCGAAGAAGAGGUACGCAACAUGUUGCACAUUGACGCGCCCCCCAAAGACAUCUCCUGGUUAAACUGUCCUUUUCUAGUGUUACAUAAUCUGAUAUCUGACCAGCAUUGAUGUACUGUAGCUUCCGAAGCAUGAUGAUGGUUUUGGGCAGAGCCAUUACGCUUGUACCUUUGACGUCUAGCACUUGGAGCUGUCUCAGGUUGCCCAAUGAAUCUGGCAGUAGAUAAAUACGAAAACAUCCUCGUAGAGAAAGGUAUUUUAGGUGAAGAAGCUUCCAAAUAUGAUCAAGCUGAUGGGAUUGUAUAUAAUAUUUCUGAUAAUCAUCUAUGCCUUCUAAGUCGAGCACUCGUAGAAGCCUCAUCUUGUCAGAAAUGUAAAAUGGUCUGAAUUCUCCAAACACGGUUAGUGAUCGUAAUCAUGACACAUCAACUAUUCUCUCUAACUCACUCUGAUCUCCUUUCCAGUUGCUCCUUAUUGCAAGACGACGAAUUGCGCCAUGGGUACUCAAGCCACAUCCUUCCUCCAGUCUAAAAACAAGGUUUUCUUCCAUUGACUUUGAGAUGGCAAUGUCACGGAUGAGAUCAUGGACUUUGCAAGGGUCAAUUGAUUUUGUACUGCGAACUGAUUGUUGAAAUGGUAAAAUCAUGCUUCUGUAUUUGAGUUCUGUGAAGUAAUUUUCAGCCAUUACAUUGGCAGACUUACCACGCCUCUCGUGUGAGUAUCCUUCUGCUGUCCAUCGACUCACCAAACGCCUCUGGCUAAUGAUGUGGUCCUCAGGAAAAAUGGACAGAUAUAAGAAACAUGACUUGAGUUCAUAGGGUAAACCAUCAUAACUUGUCUGAAGGACGGUUCUUAUCAUCCCAAGCUCUGGAUUCAUCUCUAACUCAGCACUGAUAUUUUCAUUCAACUUUCUCCACUCAGCUCUAGUCUUUGGCCGGCUUGCCAAGUAGCCACCUAUUGUAACUAUUGCAAGGGGAAGUCCACCACACUUCUUUAGGAUUUUUUUUGUUUCUUCAACCAACUCGGGAUUCUUCCUAAUCAAAUCUGUUGCCUUCACAAGGCGAAGUCCACCACACGUCUUUAAGUUUUGGUUUGCUUCUUCAGCAAACUCUGGAUUCUGCUUAACAAAAUCUGCAGCCUUCCCAAAUACCUGAUUUUAAUGCAAUUUAAGUAUUUUAGUACUCCAAUCUAAAAAUAAAUAAAUAAUUGUGCAUUACUUGUUGAUAUUUUGUUUGCUAGUGAUAGGUGCACAAUUGGUUGUGCACAGUGAUAAGCACAUACUGAAACAACAGUUUUCCUGUGAAACUUGGUGAUAUAUAAUUUUUUUUUUAAGUUUGGCUGAAACUUGUCCAUUAUUCUUUUAUAAAAUAUUGCUGAAAAUUCUCACAACUUCACGAACUUUCCUGGGAGUUGCCUUUCAUAAAACUUGCCCAUUAUUCUUUUAAUUUUUUUCUUUAUGAGAGCUGUUAGUUUCCUUUAAUCUAACAUAUAUGAAUAUGAUGAUCUGAGGUAUACGAGAUCGGUAUACAAUACUAGGGAACUACUAAGUUUCACCUGAGGGUUUUAGAUGGCUUCAACACCAGAAUUUGGUCCUGCAGUUUUAUGCCAACACUUAUGCUUUAGGGGUGAUAUGUAUAUAAGUUAAGAAAUUCAGGCCUCAAAAUGACAACUGACUUUUGUUUAUACCAUAUAAAUAUAAGCAGUUUAAUUUUGAAUUAGGGCUAGUCUACCCAUAAUUUACAUUCACGUUUUCUUAUAAUUUUUAAGUAAUAAGAGUGUAAUAAAAAUUCAACUAUUGGAUACCCGAAUAUAACACUUGAUCCUUUUGUUAGUAUGAAGCUAGAUCUAAGUUGAGUUAAUAUCUUGAAAUUGGAUAGCUGAAAAUCAGGUGGUGGAAACCCCUAAAAUGCUUGAGUGACAUAUAUAUAUAGUAAGGAUAAAAAAUAUACAAGUACAUUCACUUGAAGUGAAAUAUGACACACCACGUAGCAACAACUCAAAACAAAUGUAGGAUGCGCUACUUGAAAAUAAUUUAAUAUACAUAUGGCAUCAUGUUCUUUUCAUAGUAAUAUCUCAAAUUGUUAUUAUGCUAGAUACAAAAAUUUUAACCAGUGUAAAAGUCCCCAAGUUAUUAACAUUGCUAUGAAGACCCAUAGACAUUUAAUACUUUUUUUAGCAACCAAAUGAAGCAACGAAUACUACUACUCGAUCCGAGGAUGUUUUCAGUGUUUUAGUGGGUGGGGGGUAAUUAAUAGUUUUUAAAUAAUAUUAUCUUUGUAGUCAAUUGUAAAUAAUUUUCAUUAAUGAAAUAAAGAAAAAAUAAAAUAGAUAGUUGACUGUGCUAUUGGAAACUCCUAAUAUUGGAAAAGUCAGAUAAUAUAAUGACAAAAGUACCUUCCCUUAAGAUCCUCAGAAAAAUGAGAACUAUUUUGUUGUUUCACAUGGAUAAAUGAGUAGGAAGGGGAAUUAAACAAAUAAGGACAAAAGAAAUCAAAGCAUUCUCUAUUGUGUUCAACAAGAGGACAAAACACAUUUUUGUUGUGUUCUGGUGGUGUUUGUGGUCUUGUGUUUUGAGAACAGGCAUCAUUGAUAUACUGGGAGGCAAAAAUUACGUUAUAUAUGAAUCAUGGAUGUAUAGGUCAUUAGCGGCAAUAAUUGGGAUGGCAACAGCCUGUUGAAUAUCAGCGUAUUGAUCAUCUUGGUUCAGUUGUUCAAAUGAUAAACAAAGGUGAAACAAUUUGCAUGUUCUCAUAUGUUCCCAUCUUUAAUCUCUACGAAAUGCUAGACUGUUGUAGUAAUAAUGCUAUUUAAAAUCAAGCAAAAGUGACAAGGUUUCUAUUAUAUUACCUUUAAGCUGAAGAGGUUAAGUGCGUCCUCUUCUUUUAGAACUUCAAGGUUGUGUACUAUUCCAUAAUUCCCGGAACAAUGCUUUGCAAUGCUUUCCUCCCUUGUAGUCACAAUUAUUCAGGUUGUUUUUUCCAUCCAAGAAAACCCUUGUAUUAUAUGGUCCCAUUCUUCAAUGGAUGACAAAUCGUCCAGAACAAUCAAGCAGCUCUUCUUUUCUAAAAGCCUUUUCAACUCUUUAGUGAAGUUUUUAACCCCCAUCAUUGCUAAUGAUUCAGUCUUGCUGUAUCUAUUGUUCAAUAGUUCUUCCUUCUUAGAAGACUCUUCUUGUAAUCGCCCAACUAAACUUCUAAGUAGAUCUGCAGGAUUGAAAGGACGCAUGAUUGUGACAAAGGCAUGCUUCUCAAACAUGUCACUUCAAACAUGUCACUUAACUUUGGGCUUUGAUAAAUGCCGUUGGCUAGAGUGGUUUUUUCAAGACCACCCAUUCCCCAAAUAGAGAUCACUUGACAUUGUUGGCUAGCCUUGUUUGAGAUUAAUCCUAUAAUUUUGGAUAUUUAUUUCUCUCUCCCAAUAAGUUGAGAUUCCACUAAAGAACCAACACCCGCUCUGAUGCGAGUGAGGCUCUUUUUGUCCACCUUUGUUUCAUCAACAUUCUUACACUGAUCCUCUGUUAUCUCACUAGGGGCCACUGUUUGGGCAUUUGUACUGGCAGUGACCACAUCUGGGCUAGAUACUGGAUCCACGGAAACCAUUUCAUUUUGAGAAACCUGAACAAACACAAAGUACAAUUAUUGGAAGCAACCUUUAAACUUCUUCUUCUUGUUGUUAUUUUUUUAAGGUUAUGUGUACCUAUAACCAAAGUACUAUAUAACCUUUUAUGUAAUCGUGCAAUCAGUGACUAUUGGUCAUAAAUCAAUUUAGCAAGGUAUGAAAAUUACAUAUAACAGAAAUCUUACCUCGCUGCGGUGCUUAAGUUUUUAACAUAUAUAAGCUGAAGUCCUAACGUAAAUGACUAAUGUCAUAGUUGAAGACAUCAGGGGUAAAGGGUUAUGGUUUCAAAUGAUCCACCUCCCUCUGAAAUCCUAAAAUCCACCCAGUUAUUACUCAGUAAUCUAUAGUUUAAACGAUGCUCCCUAUUGAUAGAAAUAUCUUGGUGUCCUCCUAUCUAAAUAUUUAAGAGUUUAGUGGCUGUGUUAAUAUUAGCUGUUGAAGAAGCCGUAAAUUAUAAUUUCUUCAUCUAAAAUUUAGUGAUGAAUCCCAAGUUAUCCUCCCCUCAAGAGAUGCUGCGAUGAACAUAGACUACAGCAAUGCACGGAUUCAGUAUCUUUCCUCUUCAUAUAGAUUUUCAGUUAGCAAAUGCUGUGAUUUCACAAUUUUUCUAGUAUAUCCAUUCAUUAAAUCUGCUGGAAUAUCCUCUACGAUUUAACAAGGUAUUAUUUUUCACAUUGACAGUGGGAGGUUGCUUUUCAAGCACAGAUGGGACAAUUGCUUUAUUUAUAGAUCAAUAUAAUUAAAAUGAAGCUUCAAAAUUUACAAUUAAGCAAGGAAGCUUAUACUCCCUCCGUUUCAAAUUGUAGGCCGCUUUAACUUUUUUAGAUACAUAUUUUUUGCUAUGCACCUAAAUGGUUAUGUUUAGAUACAUAGCAAAAUCUAUAUAUUUAUAAAAGCUAAAGUGAGCUAUAAUUUGAAACAGAGGAAGUACUUUGUUACUCUGUAAAUUUGCAUAUUAAUGUGUUAGCCAAUCUAGUACCUUUUAUCCAUUCCCUUUUCAGGCAAUUGCUUAAAUGCUAUUGGAAAAUAAUAUAAUCCUUGAUACGAUCGAUAACUGAAUCAGAAUAAUGAUGUCAUAGAAUGCUACUAAAAAUAAAAAUAUAAGUAUUACCUUGUCAUAGAAUGCAUAAAGCGUGUGAUCGGCAGACAAUUGCUUAGCUCUGAGGCUUGGCUAUCUUGCCCUGCACAUAAGCUUGCAACUUCAACUUGUGUUGUUGACACUAUGAUUCGGCUUCCUUUGUUGUUGUUUGGCAGGCAUUUUUCGAUCUGGUCCCACUCUUCAAUGGUGCAGAGGUCAGUAAGCACAAUGAGAAACCUCUUCUCCUUCACAUAUCCAUCGAACUCCUGAACUAAAUCGUGCGCGGUCUUCUCUGUGUCCAAUAUAUCUUUAAAUCCUUCCACUGCAAGAAAUUGGUUCAC